CUACGGGGUGCUCCAGUGAGGAAUAUUGCACAAUGGGGGGAACCCUGAUGCAGCAACGCCGCGUGGAGGAUGACGCAUUUCGGUGUGUAAACUCCUUUUAUAUGUCAAGAAAAUGACGGUAGCAUAUGAAUAAGCACCGGCUAACUCCGUGCCAGCAGCCGCGGUAAUACGGAGGGUGCAAGCGUUACUCGGAAUCACUGGGCGUAAAGGACGCGUAGGCGGGUUGGAAAGUCAGGUGUGAAAUCCUACAGCUUAACUGUAGAACUGCACUUGAAACUUCUAAUCUAGAGUAUGGGAGGGGGAGAUGGAAUUAGUGGUGUAGGGGUAAAAUCCGUAGAUAUCACUAGGAAUACCUAAAGCGAAGGCGAUCUACUAGAACAUUAUUGACGCUGAGACGCGAAAGCGUGGGGAGCAAACAGGAUUAGAUACCCGAGUAGUC
rnacentral:rRNA from 1 species